UUUGGAGAGUUUGAUCCUGGCUCAGGACGAACGCUGGCGGCGUGCUUAACACAUGCAAGUCGAACGGAAAGGUCUCUUCGGAGACACUCGAGUGGCGAACGGGUGAGUAACACGUGGGCAAUCUGCCCUGCACACCGGGAUAAGCCUGGGAAACUGGGUCUAAUACCGGAUAGGACCACUUGGCGCAUGCCUUGUGGUGGAAAGCUUUUGCGGUGUGGGAUGGGCCCGCGGCCUAUCAGCUUGUUGGUGGGGUGACGGCCUACCAAGGCGACGACGGGUAGCCGGCCUGAGAGGGUGUCCGGCCACACUGGGACUGAGAUACGGCCCAGACUCCUACGGGAGGCAGCAGUGGGGAAUAUUGCACAAUGGGCGCAAGCCUGAUGCAGCGACGCCGCGUGGGGGAUGACGGCCUUCGGGUUGUAAACCUCUUUCACCAUCGACGAAGGUCCGGGUUCUCUCGGAUUGACGGUAGGUGGAGAAGAAGCACCGGCCAACUACGUGCCAGCAGCCGCGGUAAUACGUAGGGUGCGAGCGUUGUCCGGAAUUACUGGGCGUAAAGAGCUCGUAGGUGGUUUGUCGCGUUGUUCGUGAAAUCUCACGGCUUAACUGUGAGCGUGCGGGCGAUACGGGCAGACUAGAGUACUGCAGGGGAGACUGGAAUUCCUGGUGUAGCGGUGGAAUGCGCAGAUAUCAGGAGGAACACCGGUGGCGAAGGCGGGUCUCUGGGCAGUAACUGACGCUGAGGAGCGAAAGCGUGGGGAGCGAACAGGAUUAGAUACCCUGGUAGUCCACGCCGUAAACGGUGGGUACUAGGUGUGGGUUUCCUUCCUUGGGAUCCGUGCCGUAGCUAACGCAUUAAGUACCCCGCCUGGGGAGUACGGCCGCAAGGCUAAAACUCAAAGGAAUUGACGGGGGCCCGCACAAGCGGCGGAGCAUGUGGAUUAAUUCGAUGCAACGCGAAGAACCUUACCUGGGUUUGACAUGCACAGGACGCGUCUAGAGAUAGGCGUUCCCUUGUGGCCUGUGUGCAGGUGGUGCAUGGCUGUCGUCAGCUCGUGUCGUGAGAUGUUGGGUUAAGUCCCGCAACGAGCGCAACCCUUGUCUCAUGUUGCCAGCGGGUAAUGCCGGGGACUCGUGAGAGACUGCCGGGGUCAACUCGGAGGAAGGUGGGGAUGACGUCAAGUCAUCAUGCCCCUUAUGUCCAGGGCUUCACACAUGCUACAAUGGCCGGUACAAAGGGCUGCGAUGCCGCGAGGUUAAGCGAAUCCUUUUAAAGCCGGUCUCAGUUCGGAUCGGGGUCUGCAACUCGACCCCGUGAAGUCGGAGUCGCUAGUAAUCGCAGAUCAGCAACGCUGCGGUGAAUACGUUCCCGGGCCUUGUACACACCGCCCGUCACGUCAUGAAAGUCGGUAACACCCGAAGCCAGUGGCCUAACCCUCGGGAGGGAGCUGUCGAAGGUGGGAUCGGCGAUUGGGACGAAGUCGUAACAAGGUAGCCGUA
rnacentral:rRNA from 1 species